rnacentral:rRNA from 1 species
GACGUAGGGCGCGAGCGUUGUCCGGAUUUAUUGGGCGUAAAGAGCUCGUAGGCGGCUUGUCGCGUCGAAUGUGAAAUUUUUAGGGCUCAACCCUGACAUUGCAUUCGAUACGGGCAGGCUUGAGUUCGGUAGGGGAGACUGGAAUUCCUGGUGUAGCGGUGAAAUGCGCAGAUAUCAGGAGGAACACCGGUGGCGAAGGCGGGUCUCUGGGACGGUACUGACGCUGAGGCGCGAAAGCGUGGGGAGCAAACAGG